rnacentral:rRNA from 1 species
CAGCCGCCGCGGUAAUACAGAGGGUGCAAGCGUUAAUCGGAAUUACUGGGCGUAAGCGCGCGUAGGUGGUUUGUUAAGUUGGAUGUGAAAUCCCCGGGCUCAACCUGGGAACUGCAUCCAAAACUGGCAAGCUAGAGUAUGGUAGAGGGUGGUGGAAUUUCCUGUGUAGCGGUGAAAUGCGUAGAUAUAGGAAGGAACACCAGUGGCGAAGGCGACCACCUGGACUGAUACUGACACUGAGGUGCGAAAGCGUAGGGAGCAAACAGGAUUAGAUACCCCGGUAGUCCCUGUCUCUUAUACA